CGACCGGCGCACGGGUGAGUAACACGUAUCCAACCUGCCGAUAACUCGGGGAUAGCCUUUCGAAAGAAAGAUUAAUACCCGAUGGCAUAAUAGAACCGCAUGGUUUGAUUAUUAAAGAAUUUCGGUUAUCGAUGGGGAUGCGUUCCAUUAAGCAGUUGGUGGGGUAACGGCUCACCAAGGCGACGAUCCCUAGCUGGUCUGGGAGGAUGACCAGCCACACUGGAACUGAGACACGGUCCAGACUCCUACGGGAGGCAGCAUG
rnacentral:rRNA from 1 species